UAGCCCGUGAUCUCAUGAGAAUGCUGAAGAACCAGGACUGACAACAUGCCACCGGAUUGUGGCGUACAGAAUUAAACCCAGGGACAGAUUAAGCAUUGGAACAACGUGGGGAGAACAGACACGCAACAACACCCAAAGUCCAUCACUAAUGCACUAAGGAUCAGGCUGAUAAGAGGGAUUUUGGACAAUUGGUUUCUAUCUGCACAAUGACUUCUGGUAAAGAUUCAUUGACCUUUUGCGGUAUGUUUUGAUUUUACUUAUUAAUACACUGCUUAGUUGGGAUUCAAAGUGUAAUGUUUGUGCUCAUAUAUUAUCAAAAUUAAAUUGAGCCACCUAGGGUCUGGAGAAUAUUAUGGAUAACUGUAUAAUACUGAAUUGGAAAAAUCCCUUCAGCUCAACAGCCUAAUGUGUUGCUAUCUCCACCUGU